rnacentral:lncRNA from 1 species
CGGCAGCGGUUCGCCUCGACUUGGUCAGUUUUGGCCAAUUUUUAUCAUAUUUGGUCGAUUCUCGACGUAUUCCUGCAGAAAAACAUGUUAGGGCCUCGGUUAGCUAGAAAAUCACAAAAAAACUAAACCUACCAGAGGGGACCUUCGGGUGUCGCGGCUCCUCGAGUCCUCAUUCGAAGCUGAGGUUCUUUUUUCGGCUACCCUGCAUAAAAAUUGACGGUGAACAUAGUGAUCGAAAAAUCACGUGAAAUGGGAGUCUGAAAGGGGCUCAUCGAAGAGAUUUUAGGGCACGACGGUUCCGUCGGACUUUGCCCAUAGUUUUUGGCUCACCUACUGGGCUUUACCCACAAAUUUCAGGUCACCAACCAUCUCUUUUGCUUCAAUUUGGCUACAGGGGUACUCAAAAUUGAAUUUCGAGCGGGUAUGGAGAAUUUUUACCUUUUUUGGCAGUCGGCGGUGCUUCCAGUGCAGCAACGGCGGCUCUGAUGCGGCAACGGUGCGGUCGACCUCCAUCUUUGGCGUCUGGUUCUUCAACUCUAAAAGGGGCUGGUGGCUAGGGUAUAGGUUUUCGUGUGAUGCGAAAUAUUUAUAACCAUCUCGCGUUGAUCUGGGCCCAUCCAUCGCGAUCGAUCUCGUCCGUCCGAUCACGCCUAAAGAGAAAAUAAAUCUAAACCGUUCAUCGUGAUUAAUCUCGAUCGUCUGAUCGCACCUAAGAGGAAAACGAAUAUAGGUCGUCUACGCGCGCAGGAUCAAUCUUGGGCCAUUUGAU